AGCUUUGGUGACGUUUUUCCAAUCGACUCCAGAAACUCUCCGCCGCCGCGGCCUAGCGUUCCCGCUCCCUUUUCCCGUUAUUUUCUUCACUCAUGUCCGACUGUCCGAACCCAAACCGAGCGAAACCCGCUGCCUUAUGACGCGCUGACCACGGGACGGUCGAUUUAAACGCAGUUUUUUGCCCGGAAAGCGAGUGAAAUAACAGUAAACAGACUGAGGGAGCGAUGACAUCCCGAAGAUGGUUUCACCCCAACAUCACAGGAGUAGAGGCGGAGAACCUUCUCCUCACUCGUGGUGUGGACGGCAGUUUCUUGGCCCGUCCCAGCAAAAGCAACCCUGGAGACUUUACGCUGUCUGUCAGGCGAAAUGGAGCUGUCACCCACAUUAAGAUCCAAAACACGGGAGACUAUUAUGACCUGUACGGCGGAGAGAAGUUUGCCACCCUGGCUGAGCUGGUGCAGUAUUACAUGGAACAUCACGGACAGCUGAAAGAAAAAAACGGAGACGUCAUUGAGCUCAAAUACCCUCUCAACUGUGCCGAUCCCACUUCUGAGAGGUGGUUUCAUGGUCACCUCUCUGGUCGUGAGGCCGAGAAGCUGUUGACAGAGAAGGGCAAGAAUGGAAGUUUUCUGGUGAGAGAAAGUCAGAGUCACCCAGGAGAUUUUGUGCUUUCCGUACGGACCGGAGAUGACAAGACGGACACCAGCGACGGCAAACCCAAAGUCACACAUGUCAUGAUACGCUGCCAGCAUGAUCUGAAGUAUGAUGUUGGAGGUGGGGAGAAAUUCGACUCGCUCACAGAUCUGGUGGAGCAUUACAAGAAAAACCCUAUGGUGGAAACACUGGGGACAGUCCUGCAGCUCAAACAGCCUCUGAACACAACCCGCAUCAAUGCAGCAGAGAUCGAAAUUCGGGUUCGAGAGCUCAGCAAGCUGGCAGAGACCACAGAUAAGGUCAAGCAGGGAUUCUGGGAGGAGUUUGAGACCCUUCAGCAGCAGGAGUGUAAACUGCUGUACAGUCGCAAAGAUGGCCAGCGGCCAGAAAACAAAAACAAGAACAGAUAUAAAAACAUUCUUCCCUUCGACCACACGCGAGUCGUGCUGACCGACGGUGACACGAACGAACCGGGCUUGGACUACAUCAAUGCCAACAUCAUCAUGCCUGAAAUCGAGACUAAGAGCAACAACUCCAAGCUGAAGAGGAGCUACAUCGCCACUCAGGGCUGCCUGCAAAACACCAUCAGUGACUUCUGGAGGAUGGUGUUUCAGGAGAACUCUCGAGUCAUCGUUAUGACCACGAAAGAAGUGGAACGGGGAAAGAGUAAGUGUGUGAAGUAUUGGCCUGACGUGUCUGCGCUGAAGGAGUAUGGAGCCAUGCGUGUGCGGAACGUGAAGGAAACAGUGGCGCACGAUUACACCCUGCGAGAGCUGAAGCUGUCGAAAGUUGGACAGGGUAAUACUGAGCGUACAGUGUGGCAGUAUCAUUUCCGCGCCUGGCCUGACCACGGUGUGCCCGGAGACCCUGGAGGCGUGCUGGACUUCCUGGAAGAGGUCAAAAUGAAGCAGGAGAGCAUAACCGGGGCUGGAGCCAUCGUGGUGCACUGCAGUGCUGGGAUUGGACGGACAGGAACUUUUAUCGUGAUUGAUAUUUUAAUAGACAUCAUCAGAGAAAAGGGAGUGGACUGUGAUAUCGACGUGCCCAAGACUAUCCAGAUGGUGCGAUCUCAGCGUUCAGGAAUGGUGCAGACAGAGGCCCAGUAUCGCUUCAUCUACAUGGCUGUGCAGCAUUAUAUUGAGACCCUACAGCGCCGCAUAGAGGAGGAGCAGAAAAGUAAAAUUAAAGGACGCGAGUACACCAACAUCAAAUAUUCUCUCUCUGACCUGACCGGAGGAGAUCAGAGUCCUCUGCCACCGUGCACGCCAACACCAACCUGUGCCGACAUGAGGGACGACAGCUCUCGAGUCUAUGAGAAUGUGGGUCUCAUGCAACAGCAGAAGAGUCACAGAUGAGACUUAAACUCACAGAUUUGAUGUUGCUUGUACAUGAAGACACAAUAGUAACAGCUCUACGUCCAUCUGCAAUGCAGAAUAAACGGUUUCUGUUGUUGCCAGACGCUCCUGAACACCUAAGAAGUGAUCAUGACUAAACCGAGAGAUGACAAAAAAAGACGUAAAAAAAAAAAAACAUUCCAGAGACCGGUCAACACGAGCUCAGAGACAUGUGGAUGGAGUGAAUCUCAUUUCUCCUUCCAGCUACGUAGCCUUUUAACCCCACACUAAGAAACCACUGUGACGAUCAUGAAGCCUUAUACAGAAUAAACCCAAAACAGCCCCUGCGAAAUCAUGUUUUUUUUUUUUUUUUAGCUGUGGAGUUUUCUGAAAUCGAUUCAGGCUACUUUUAGCGAGUGUGGGAAAAGCUUAUGCUCUUACAUUGUCAUUUCUUUUUCCAUUUCUCCUAAACAAAGCAAGAACGCUUUCUGGAAGACAUCGAGUGUGAUAUUCAAACUGAAAAUGGACACUAUCAUCACAUAUGCCUUUGCUAAAAUAAUUGGGAUCAGAAGAGAAGCAAAAAAAGAAUGAGGUGCAUCCCUUUCCUCGGCAAGUGAAAGAGAUGCACCUCAUUUUUCCAAUACAGUUCAUUCAUGUUAUAAUCUGUAAAAAUGUCCUGUUUGUGCCAUUCUAGUGCUAGUGCUAAAUUCAGAUCAGAGGAUCCGAAUCAUUCUAGUCCACUUUCACAGCCUCUGCCUUCAGUUUAAGCCCAGCAUCCUUAAGACUUUGCUCCAAACGGCAGGAGAACUUCAGCACACCCUCGGUUUGCCUUUUUCACCCCCCUCAAGAGUGACGUCCUGACUCUUCCGUGGGACAAAACGUCCGUGUCACUGGCUUGUUUGUGUUAAUGAAUUAUUGUUCUGUUGCAUCAGGCCACCCAGCAGCUGCUUUGGCUUGACUGCAAAAUCUGUUUCUUAUUAUUUUUUUAUGAUUUUGCUGUCUUUUAAAAAAUAUAUAUAUAUUUACGUCAAAGCAGCGUAUGAACUUAAUUUCCAAAUCACUGUUUUAAGAAUGACUGCACAUUCGUAACCCUGGGGGAUUUCUGCUUGUAAAGAGCUGUGGAUAUAUUUAUGGGUUUUAAAGUGUUAUUCAGGCCCUCUAUGAUGGACAAACUUGACUUUUGGAUUUGUUUUGCCAGGUCACAUGCCUUUGUUUUCUUGCGAUGCUAACUUUUUGGCUUUUGUAGAUUUUGCAAGCUUCACUAAACCAAGCUUUUCUCGUGUUCAGCAUCAGCAGUAUUUCAUAAAUGGUUUUUUUAAUGUUUUCGCAAGUGCUUCUUCCUUCAUAACCAUUUGUCUUAAGAUCACCGUUACGUUCUUAUUAUCUGGCUUUGACUUUCUUGCUUUCUUCAUCUUGAUAGUUGAUUCCUUGCAUGUUUAUAACAUUGGUUUUCUGGCAGACGACGAGCUCAGCCCAUCAUGUAUUCGGCGUACUGUAGUGUGUUUAUCGUCCUGAAGUGCGUGAGCGUUUUUGUGUCUUGCAAACAAAACCGCUGUUUGUUUGCUUUCUCAAGUCCAGUCUUCUGUUUCUGCCAUGUUUUUUGUUUCUUGUAAACAUGACACAUGUUCCUGUGUGUUGGUGACCAGUUAUCUUCCUUUACUUUCUUUUGAAACCAACAAAAAAAUGUCACGGUCCUCUUCGCUACACGGAAAGCAUUACGAUCCAAAGCAACUAAUGUGAAUUUUUGUCAUCGUGAAGAGAACGAAACGGUUGUGGAACUCAAUGCAAACUAUAUUUUUAAAACUUGUAUAUUGUACAUGAAUAUCUUGUAGAGGAGAAUGUACUUACUAAACAUAUGUAAUUGCCAUUAAGAUAUACUGUAUGUUUAACCCAGCAGCAUUUCUUCUCGUGCCAGACGGUGAGCCUUACAGAAGCUAAUAGGGUUGAUCGUGUUGUUCAGCUAGCAAUGCAAUUAACCAACAUGAACUCCUUGAUAACAAUAAACAAGAAGCUCACCUCUU